CCUCUCCUUUCUCCGUCUCCCUCUCCAUCUCUCUCUCUCCUCUGCUUCUGUCAUCGUCAUCGAUCUGCUCUCUCCUCCCAAAACGCUCCGUUUCUACUCGUUCUCUGGUUUGCUUCGCUUUCCACGAACCUCCUAGUUCUCCAAGAUCACAUUUAUCUCUCAGUUUAUGUAGUUUUUCUCUUUAUUUUUAAGCUUUUUCUGUGUGCUGUCACUGUGUUUAUUUUUGUUUAUGUACUUGAAUAUGAACAGAGCUAGAGAUAUGUACAGAGAUAUGCGUGUGUUGUAGUGUGUGUAUAGAUUUGAGAAGCAGAGGUUUUGUUUCCGUUGAGAGUUGACCCGGGCCGACGAGUGCUCGGGGAAGAAAAUCCGUAUGGACAUGGAAACUAAU
rnacentral:misc_RNA from 1 species